rnacentral:rRNA from 1 species
ACGAGGGGAGCUAGCGUUGUUCGGAAUUACUGGGCGUAAAGCGUGCGUAGGCGGUUACUCAAGUCAGAGGUGAAAGCCCGGGGCUCAACCCCGGAACGGCCUUUGAAACUAGGUAACUAGAAUCUUGGAGAGGUUAGUGGAAUUCCGAGUGUAGAGGUGAAAUUCGUAGAUAUUCGGAAGAACACCAGUGGCGAAGGCGACUAACUGGACAAGCAUUGACGCUGAGGCACGAAAGCGUGGGGAGCAAACAGGAUUAGAUACCCUGGUAGUCCACGCCGUAAACGAUGAUAACUAGCUGUCCGGGCACUUGGUGCUUGGGUGGCGCAGCUAACGCAUUAAGUUAUCCGCCUGGGGAGUACGGUCGCAAGAUUA